GACGAACGCUGGCGGCGUGCCUAACACAUGCAAGUCGAGCGGAGAUAGACUGAUGGUAACUGAAGCUUAUCUUAGCGGCGGACGGGUGAGUAACACGUGGGCAACCUGCCUUGGAGUGGGGGAUAACACCGGGAAAUCGGUGCUAAUACCGCAUAACAUACACAUACUGCAUGGUGAGUGUAUCAAAGGAGCAAUCCGCUUUAAGAUGGGCCCGCGGCUGAUUAGCUAGUUGGUAAGGUAACGGCUUACCAAGGCGACGAUCAGUAGCCGACCUGAGAGGGUGACCGGCCACACUGGAACUGAGACACGGUCCAGACUCCUACGGGAGGCAGCAGUGGGGAAUAUUGCGCAAUGGGGGAAACCCUGACGCAGCAACGCCGCGUGGAGGAAGAAGGUCUUCGGAUUGUAAACCUCUGUUCUUGGUGACGAAAAGAUGACGUAGCCAAGGGAAAGCCCCGGUAACUACGUGC
rnacentral:rRNA from 1 species